GCUGAGUUAGGUUUAAACAAACACGCACUCACACCUCCGGGUGAAGGAAGGGCAGGCAACAAGCGGCAGCGAGCACCAGGCAGGACGCACACAGGCCAGAUGAGCCCACUUCCGGUUCCUAAGCCGUCUCUGGUUAACAUGGAAACAUCAAUUUGUUCUGGUCACAAACUAAUCAAGCUAGAAGCCGAGGCCGGGAGAGGGCUGGAAAAACCGAAGAUAAAACUGCAAUCACAGAUUCCAGUCGGCAGAGAAGCAGGGUUAAAUUCCAACUUUGAUUUUACGGCUUGACCUCAGGCUCAUUUAUGAAAUCACCGGGAUCUUAAUUCGCGGCUUUGCAAAGUGGAACUGGGAUAGGCUGUGCUGGCUCACUCUGGAAAAGCGACUGCUCAGCUGGCUCGGUGGGAGGGCACCUGGAUGGGGCCGCCGCGUGACUCCUACCUAACCAGGGGCAUCCCAUCAUUUGUUUCUAAGUUAAAUGUUGAUGCCUCAGAAGAGAUGGGGGAAGGGAAAAAAACCCAAAUAAAUUCUUGCCUGAUGUGGUGA